GUAGGGAAUAUUGCACAAUGGAGGAAACUCUGAUGCAGCGACGCCGCGUGAGUGAUGAAGGCCUUCGGGUCGUAAAACUCUGUGAUAAGGGAAGAUGAUGACGGUACCUUAUCAGAAAAGACCGGCUAACUUCGUGCCAGCAGCCGCGGUAAUACGAGGGGUCUAAGCGUUGUUCGGAAUCACUGGGCGUAAAGCGGGUGUAGGUGGCUAUGCAAGUUGGAUGUGAAAGCCCCGGGCUCAACCCGGGAAGUGCAUCCAAAACUACGUAGCUUGAGUGCGGGAGAGAAAGGCAGAAUUCCUGGUGUAGUGGUGAAAUACGUAGAUAUCAGGAGGAACUCCGGUGGCGAAGGCGGCCUUUUGGCCCAGCACUGACACUCAGACCCGAAAGCGUGGGUAGCAAACAGGAUUAGAUACCCGUGUAGUCC
rnacentral:rRNA from 1 species